rnacentral:rRNA from 1 species
AUGGCUCAGGAUGAACGCUAGCUACAGGCUUAACACAUGCAAGUCGAGGGGCAUCAUUGGGAUAGCUUGCUAUUCAGAUGGCGACCGGCGCACGGGUGAGUAACGCGUAUCCAACCUUCCCCUUAGUAGGGCAUAGCCCGGCGAAAGUCGGAUUAAUACCCUAUGUUGUAUAUUGAGGACAUCUGAUUUAUACCAAAGAUUCAUCGCUAAGGGAUGGGGAUGCGUCCGAUUAGGUAGUCGGCGGGGUAACGGCCCACCGAGCCAUCGAUCGGUAGGGGUUCUGAGAGGAAGGUCCCCCACACUGGUACUGAGACACGGACCAGACUCCUACGGGAGGCAGCAGUGAGGAAUAUUGGUCAAUGGGCGAGAGCCUGAACCAGCCAAGUAGCGUGCAGGAAGACGGCCCUAUGGGUUGUAAACUGCUUUUAUCAGGGGAUAAAGUGAGGGACGUGUCCCUUAUUGCAGGUACCUGAUGAAUAAGGACCGGCUAAUUCCGUGCCAGCCGCAGC